UAAUCUCAGUUCCCUCAGGUUUUUCCUAAUGUGAAGGCCUGCUCAGGUGAAUUGGACUUGGAGGUUUUUAUGCAGGUCCCCUUGUAGUUUUAAUACUACUGGGAAUCAGCUCCUCUUAAAAACAUUAGCUGGAGGGCGCAGUGGUUAAGGGCUCUUUAUUUAUAGCAUUGUUCAUUUGCUAUGGUGUAAUAAUUAUUUCAUCAUGGCCUUGGAGAAUGAACAGUGUGCAAUUAAAUGAGGAGUUCUUUUGGUUGCUUUUCUCUGCUUCGAAUCAGUCAGACUUCAACUGACAAUAAUUGACU
rnacentral:misc_RNA from 1 species